AUGAUGAGUAAACUAGAAAAUUUAUGGUUAGAACACAAUGAAUAACCUUGAUUAAAUUAACUAGGGCGGACUGAUCAA
rnacentral:ncRNA from 12 species